GGGCCAACCCGCAUUUCCUGAGUGGCUUCUGGGUGUGAAAGACCAGGAUGCAAAUGUCUGUCUCUUUCAAGGGGUAGGUGGAGGAUUAGACCAAAGGUUACAAAUUCAGGCACUUCCCUUCUCUGGAGCCUCAGUCUUCUCAUCUGUAAAAUAUGCAUGUGGGAUGUCUGUACCUCUUAGUGUUGUGAUGACCCACUUAGAACAGUGCCUGACUUCAAGAUAAAUGAUGGCUGCUGUGAUUAUAACAAAAGAAACUGUGGUGGAGAUUCAGGGAAGGCAGAAGAAGGAGUCCAGAGUAGGUAUCAGGAGGUCUGAGUUCAGGACCAGUUCGUCUCUACCACACUGUGUGGCCCUGGGCAGAAUGUUCUGCCUGUCCCUUGGUUUUUGUUUUUAGAUAUAUUGGCCAAGUAAUACACAAAUUCUUAGUGCAUUGCAGCAAUGCAGAAAGACACAAAAGAAAACACAAAGGUCACUCAUUCUCAGUGCCCUCCUCAGAGGUAACCCACUGAGGCUGGUACAGCCUUUUCUUUCUCUCUCUCUUUUUUUUUUUUUUUGUGACAGAGUCUCAUUCUGUCACCCAGGCUGGAGUGCAGUGGUGUAAUCUUGGCUCACUGCAAUCCUCCACCUCCCAGGUUCAAGCACUUCUCAUGCCUCAGCCUCCCAAGUAGCUGGAACUACAGUGCCAUGGUGAGCAUACUUGUGCACACAUGUGAGGAGGAUCUAUUUCUAGAAGGAGAACUGCUGGGUCAAAGGCUCUGUACAUUUACAAUUGACUGAUUCUGUUAAGUCAUCUUCUAAAAAAGCUUCACUGUAUUAUAUUCCCACCAAGAAUGUACAAGAAUAUGGCCUGUUUUUCUACAUGUGAAAUAAAGGGAUUGGAUUGUUUCUGUCUGA